GCCAACAUGGCAUAGUGGUUUGAGCGUUGGAGUACAACUCCAGAGACCAGGGGUCAAAUCCCUGCUUGGCC